CACUCAAUAGCACAUGGUGUGUGCCUGCUUCUCUUAAGUGUUUCAUGGGGGGUUAAGCAGGGGGCCCCGGUUCGAUUCCGGGUCGGGUGA